CCAAAUUUAAAACUUAAACCUCUACUAAGUUUCCAUGAAAAGAACCCGUGGGAACUUAGUAGAGGUUUAAGUUUUAAACUUG
ensembl:miRNA